rnacentral:rRNA from 1 species
CCCUUAGAUGUUCUGGGCCGCACGCGCGCUACACUGAUACGUUCAACGAGUCCAAAACCUUGAUUGAUAGGUCUGGGUAAUCUUUUGAAGACGUAUCGUGCUAGGGAUAGAUUAUUGCAAUUAUUAAUCUUCAACGAGGAAUUCCUAGUAAACGCAAGUCAUCAGCUUGCAUUGAUUACGUCCCUGCCCUUUGUACACACCGCCCGUCGCAUCUACCGAUUGAAUGGAGAGGCAAAAUCUUCGGACCGUGACGCUUGGGAGUCAAAUCUCGGGCUGUCGUGGGAAGUGGAUUAAACCUUUCUAUUUAGAGGAAGGUAAAGUCGUAACA